UUCGUAGGCGGUGUGGCAAGUCGGAAGUGAAAUCUCCAGGCUUAACUUGGAGGCUGCUCCCGAAACUGCCAUGCUAGAGUGCGGGAGAGGCGAGUGGAAUUACAGGUGUAGCGGUGAAAUGCGUAGAUAUCUGUAGGAACACCCGUGGCGAAGGCGGCUCGCUGGACCGCAACUGACGCUGAGGAACGAAAGCUAGGGGAGCAAACAGGAUUAGAUACCCUGGUAGUCCUAGCCCUAAACGAUCAGGACUUGGGGUGCAUCCCGUUGGGGGUGCGUCCCGUAGCUAACGCGUUAAGUCCUGCGCCUGGGGAGUACGGUCGCAAGGCUGAA
rnacentral:rRNA from 1 species